UUGCGGCAGGCCUAACACAUGCAAGUCGAACGGUAACAGGAAGCAGCUUGCUGCUUCGCUGACGAGUGGCGGACGGGUGAGUAAUGUCUGGGAAACUGCCUGAUGGAGGGGGAUAACUACUGGAAACGGUAGCUAAUACCGCAUAACGUCGCAAGACCAAAGAGGGGGACCUUCGGGCCUCUUGCCAUCGGAUGUGCCCAGAUGGGAUUAGCUAGUAGGUGGGGUAACGGCUCACCUAGGCGACGAUCCCUAGCUGGUCUGAGAGGAUGACCAGCCACACUGGAACUGAGACACGGUCCAGACUCCUACGGGAGGCAGCAGUGGGGAAUAUUGCACAAUGGGCGCAAGCCUGAUGCAGCCAUGCCGCGUGUAUGAAGAAGGCCCUCGGGUUGUAAAGUACUUUCAGCGGGGAGGAAGGCGAUAAGGUUAAUAACCUUGUCGAUUGACGUUACCCGCAGAAGAAGCACCGGCUAACUCCGUGCCAGCAGCCGCGGUAAUACGAAGGGUGCAAGCGUUAAUCGGAAUUACUGGGCGUAAAGCGCACGCAGGCGGUCUGUCAAGUCGGAUGUGAAAUCCCCGGGCUCAACCUGGGAACUGCAUUCGAAACUGGCAGGCUAGAGUCUUGUAGAGGGAGGUAGAAUUCCAGGUGUAGCGGUGAAAUGCGUAGAGAUCUGGAGGAAUACCGGUGGCGAAGGCGGCCCCCUGGACAAAGACUGACGCUCAGGUGCGAAAGCGUGGGGAGCAAACAGGAUUAGAUACCCUGGUAGUCCACGCCGUAAACGAUGUCGACUUGGAGGUUGUGCCCUUGAGGCGUGGCUUCCGGAGCUAACGCGUUAAGUCGACCGCCUGGGGAGUACGGCCGCAAGGUUAAAACUCAAAUGAAUUGACGGGGGCCCGCACAAGCGGUGGAGCAUGUGGUUUAAUUCGAUGCAACGCGAAGAACCUUACCUACUCUUGACAUCCAGAGAACUUUCCAGAGAUGGAUUGGUGCCUUCGGGAACUCUGAGACAGGUGCUGCAUGGCUGUCGUCAGCUCGUGUUGUGAAAUGUUGGGUUAAGUCCCGCAACGAGCGCAACCCUUAUCCUUUGUUGCCAGCGGUCCGGCCGGGAACUCAAAGGAGACUGCCAGUGAUAAACUGGAGGAAGGUGGGGAUGACGUCAAGUCAUCAUGGCCCUUACGAGUAGGGCUACACACGUGCUACAAUGGCGCAUACAAAGAGAAGCGACCUCGCGAGAGCAAGCGGACCUCAUAAAGUGCGUCGUAGUCCGGAUUGGAGUCUGCAACUCGACUCCAUGAAGUCGGAAUCGCUAGUAAUCGUGGAUCAGAAUGCCACGGUGAAUACGUUCCCGGGCCUUGUACACACCGCCCGUCACACCAUGGGAGUGGGUUGCAAAAGAAGUAGGUAGCUUAACCUUCGGGAGGGCGCUUACCACUUUGUGAUUCAUGACUGGGGUGAAG
rnacentral:rRNA from 1 species